AAGNGAAUAGCUCAGUUGGUAGAGCACGACCUUGCCAAGGUCGGGGUCGCGAGUUCGAGUCUCGUUUCCCGCUCCA
rnacentral:tRNA from 1 species